UUUCAAUGUUAGAAAAGCACAGAGAUCUUUUUUGGCACUGGUUCAGGGAUUCGGAGAUUUACAAUGGAUGGUGUAUAUGGAGAAAGAUAAUGUCUGUUGAGAAAUGAGCUGGUGAGAACUCCGGGUGUCACAGGACCCAGGCCAUCUGCACAAUCUCUCAGAGGAAGACAGUCUCUCAGACGCUCAGUUCUCUGGCACACACAGGCUGAGCUGAGGCUAAGAUGUGCAGGUGAGUGGACAAAAGGACCAUCUCAUCAUGAUUUCACUGUCAUUUCUCUGGAGGACCUUCUUCCUUACAGAUAAUUCAGUAAUUGCAAUCCCAUUAUUCCUUAACUAGUAAUAUGUUCGGGCCAAGUGAUCAUAGCUUUAUUAUCAUGAGUAUGAAUCAGUUCUCU
rnacentral:lncRNA from 1 species